UACGGGGGGAGCAAGCGUUGUUCGGAUUUACUGGGCGUAAAGGGCGCGUAGGCGGCGUGACAAGUCACUUGUGAAAUCUCCGGGCUUAACUCGGAGAGGCCACCCAAUACUGCUGUGACUUGAGUCCGGUAGGGGAGUGGGGAAUUCCUGGUGUAGCGGUGAAAUGCGCAGAUAUCAGGAGGAACACCGGUGGCGAAGGCGGGUCUCUGGGCAGUAACUGACGCUGAGGAGCGAAAGCGUGGGGAGCGAACAGG
rnacentral:rRNA from 1 species